rnacentral:piRNA from 1 species
AUUUUACCUUGUGCUGUACCCU